rnacentral:lncRNA from 1 species
CAUAACCCGGGCCAGUCGAGCCUCACUAGCCAGAUGAAGCUAUCUGUCUGCUUAUAAAGUUAGCUUUGGGCAACAGGGUUAAGUAGCUGGAUAGCUAGUUAUUUUCAUGAACUGAAGUUCAAUUUCAGUAGGUGAACAACAAGUGGCAACCUAGCUAAUACUUACUCACAAGGAUUGCAAAAUCAUUUCUAAGAAUAAUGAAAAUGACUGCAGGUUCUACUGGUCAUUGUUUUCAGGCUGGUUGUAUUGGUGCUAGCUAGGUACCAAGCUAAAGCUAGCAACCCCAGAAGUCGCGGUCGAACAUAUGCUUUAUUACCAACGUGGUAUUGUAAACACAUCGUUCGUGGCCAGUGUUUGCUUGUUUGCAGACUUUUUUAUACAGAUUUGACAGUGCUACUGAUAGUAGUGGUGGCGCCGGGCUUGCAUGUGCAAAUUCACAACACUCUACAAUAGAACUGUGUUAUUUGACGUGCAUCCUUUUUGACAUUUAAAGACCCAAACGGCAUUCCAUAGCUUUGAGUUUGGGCUUAAUCACUCAGUGUGUGUGGUUUACACACUGUGUUUGCACAAUGAGCCACAUCUUAUUAAGGAUACCGGUGAGUUAACUGUUAAGCAGAAAAAGGAAAACUAUUUCACGGCACUGUGGAAACUUCCAUAAAAACUUUGAAGAGCUGAACAUCAGACGUUACCUUCAUGCAGUCGUAAUCAUCAGCCCUGGGUUCAAAUACAUGCUUAUUGAAGUAUUUGGAUUUUAAAGACUUUAAAAAAAUGUAUAAUGGAGACUAAUUAACUACUUCUAUUACUAAUCACCUGUGAUAUUUACAACCUUUAUUGGACCACAUUAGAUAUGGAUAGACUAGAACAUACCAUAUAUGACAUGAGAAACUUGUUUGUUAGUGAUGACAUCAUAGGCAGGUCGUACAGAUUCCUGUUUGUUAGUGAUGACAUUAUAGGCAGGUCGUACAGAUUCCUGUUUGUUAGUGAUGACAUAGGCAGGUCGUACAGAUUCCUGUUUGUUAGUGAUGACAUCAUAGGCAGGUCGUACAGAUUCAUGUUUGUUAGUGAUGACAUUAUAGGCAGGUCGUACAGAUUCAUGUUAGUGAUGACAUCAUAGGCAGGUCGAACAGGUUCGUGUUAUAUUUGAUACAGUUUAGUCAGAGAGUACAUUGAGCCAAAGCAAGUGAUUGGAAAUAUGCUAUACUGAAAAUGUCUUACACACAGACACGUGGUUUUUGGGUUAGGGAAAAUAGGAUUUUGAAUGGGACUGAAUUGUGUGUCCCCACAAGGUUAGCUGUACAAGAUCGUGUGUGUGUUUGUGUGUGUGUGUCAUAUUUGGCUGAAGCAUCAGACACUCCAAUAGCUACAUUCCAAUAAACCAGCUUCUCUACUGUUAGAACACACAAUACCCUCUCAAUAUCUUUUUCUUACAGCAGCCUUUGCAACAGAAGCACGUUUCUUUUCCCUGUCAGAAUGACAUCAAAGUCCACUAACAUUGAAGAACACACACCAUCCUUAUCCUGAUUUACUUCACUUUGUUACUCUUGAGAUGAUCGUAGGUAUAAACUUUCCUCCUCUGACCACAGAUUCAGUGAGGUAUCGCACACUGUCUUUUCAGUUGGUCUUCUUCCUCUUCUUCCUCCUCUCUGACCCAGAUUCUUAUUUUUUUCAGUUUGUUUUCUUCCUCUUCUUCCUCCUCUCUGACCCAGAUUCUUGUUUUUUUCAGUUUGUUUUCUUCCUCUUCUUCCUCCUCUCUGACCCAGAUUCUUGUUUUUUUCAGUUUGUUUUCUUCCUCUUCUUCUUCCUCUCUGACCCAGAUUCUUAUUUUUUUCAGUUUGUUUUCUUCCUCUUCUUCUUCCUCUCUGACCCAGAUUCUUAUUUUUUUCAGUUUGUUUUCUUCCUCUUCUUCUUCCUCUCUGACCCAGAUUCUUAUUUUUUUCAGUUUGUUUUCUUCCUCUUCUUCUUCCUCUCUGACCCAGAUUCUUAUUUUUUUCAGUUUGUUUUCUUCCUCUUCUUCCUCCUCUCUUCACUCCCUCUCUGACCCAGAUUCUUUUUUUUCUCAGUUUGUCUUCUUCCUCUUCUCCUUCCUCUUUUCACUCCCUCUCUGACCCAGACCAGAUUCUUAUUUUUUUUCAGUUAGUCUUCUUCCCUUUCUUCUUCUUCUCCCCUUCUGCAGUAUCUGGAGUCUCUUCCCUCCCGCUCUGACCCGUUACAGCUGGGUUUCCUGUUGUUUCCUUCCAUGGCAGGAAGCUGUAAGACACCAGGGCUGUGAUGAGAUACAUGAGCAUGCCUGUGUAGUGCCCCACCACCAGGCAGAGUGGCUGUGCCAGGACGAACAGACAGAAGACGUUGACGCUGGCGCUCUCUGCCAGCUCCACCCGGUCCUCCUGACUGGCACGCAGCACGCCAAAGAAAUAUAUCAACGCCACCGCCGGGUAAAAGGCCAACUCAACCAUGGUGCCGUCCGAGUCAAGGGAGAGUGCUGGUGUGCUGCUCUUGAUGAUGUCCGAGACGUAGACGCAAACAAACUCCACGCGGGGAAACCAGAAGUUCCACACACAUAUACUCGUUGGUCUUUCAGUCCUACCGACACACACAGAGAUGACAGAUGAGAUGUGAGGGUAUGUCCUGCAGAGAGAGAACGAUGGACCUUUGAUCAUCAGUUCUGUUGGAUCAGUAAAACAUUAGCUAUUAUCUGAUGGGGUCAAAGCCUUCUCACACUAUGUAUGUAUGUGUGUGUGUGUGUGUGUGUGUGUGUGUGUGUGUGUGUGUGUGUGUGUGUGUGUGUGUGUGUGUGUGUGUGUGUGUGUGUGUGUGUGUGUGUGUGUGUCAAGCUAUAUUACCCAGGUCUUAUCUGAUGGGGCCAAGGCCUUAUGUGCCAGAGCAUACAGCUAUAACUACUGACAACAGAUAUGAUACAAAUAAAUAAAAAACUCAC